UGGGGAAGUUUUCCGCAAUGGGCGAAAGCCUGACGGAGCAAUGCCGCGUGGAGGUGGAAGGCCUACGGGUCGUCAACUUCUUUUCUCGGAGAAGAAACAAUGACGGUAUCUGAGGAAUAAGCAUCGGUUAACUCUGUGCCAG
rnacentral:rRNA from 1 species